UACGGAGGAUGCAAGCGUUAUCCGGAAUGAUUGGGCGUAAAGCGUCCGUAGGUAGCGAUUCAAGUCUGCUGUUAAAGCGCAGGGCUUAACCCUGUAAAGGCGGUGGAAACUGGAGAGCUAGAGUGUGGUAGGGGUAGAGGGAAUUCCCGGUGUAGCGGUGAAAUGCGUAGAGAUCGGGAAGAACACCAGUGGCGAAAGCGCUCUACUGGGCCACAACUGACACUGAUGGACGAAAGCUAGGGGAGCGAAUGGG
rnacentral:rRNA from 1 species